CCCAUGGCUCAGAUUGAACGCUGGCGGCAGGCCUAACACAUGCAAGUCGAGCGGCAGCACGGGUACUUGUACCUGGUGGCGAGCGGCGGACGGGUGAGUAAUGCCUAGGAAUCUGCCUGGUAGUGGGGGAUAACGCUCGGAAACGGACGCUAAUACCGCAUACGUCCUACGGGAGAAAGCAGGGGACCUUCGGGCCUUGCGCUAUCAGAUGAGCCUAGGUCGGAUUAGCUAGUUGGUGAGGUAAUGGCUCACCAAGGCGACGAUCCGUAACUGGUCUGAGAGGAUGAUCAGUCACACUGGAACUGAGACACGGUCCAGACUCCUACGGGAGGCAGCAGUGGGGAAUAUUGGACAAUGGGCGAAAGCCUGAUCCAGCCAUGCCGCGUGUGUGAAGAAGGUCUUCGGAUUGUAAAGCACUUUAAGUUGGGAGGAAGGGCAGUUACCUAAUACGUAAUUGUUUUGACGUUACCGACAGAAUAAGCACCGGCUAA
rnacentral:rRNA from 1 species